AACUAACGCUGGCGGCGUGCCUAACACAUGCAAGUCGAACGAGAAGCCCGCAAGGGUUGUAAAGUGGCGGACGGGUGCAUAACACGUGGGUAAUCUACCCUUUGGUCUGAGAUAACCUGCCGAAAGGCGGGCUAAUACCGGAUAAGACCACGGCUCUGAGGAGCUGUGGGAAAAGGCCCGCAAGGGUCGCCGAUCGAUGAGCCCGCGGCCUAUCAGGUAGUUGGUGAGGUAAUGGCUCACCAAGCCUACGACGGGUAGCUGGUCUGAGAGGACGACCAGCCACACUGGAACU
rnacentral:rRNA from 1 species